GUGGGGACACAGCACUGGGACUUAGGAUGAGAACACAGCAGGAGGACGCACGUAACACCAUGGGGACACACAGCGAGGAUGCGCCGUAGGGACGCGGCAUGGGGACGCAAAGCGGGGACGCGUCCCCUCCAGCCCCGUGUCCCCGUGUCCCCCCAGGUUCUCGGUGAAGACGCUGCUGGAGAAGCACACUGCUGAGCCCAUCGACGACUCCUCCGAGGAGUUCGUCAACUUCGCCGCCAUCCUCGAGCAGAUCCUCAGCCACCGCUUCAAAGGCCCCGUCAGCUGGUUCAGCUCAGAUGGGCAGCGUGGCUUCUGGGAUUACAUCCGCCUGGCCUGCAGCAAGGUGCCCAACAACUGCGUCAGCAGCAUCGAGAGCAUGGAGAACAUCAGCACCUCCAGGGCCAAGGGCCGGGCGUGGAUCCGCGUGGCGCUGAUGGAGAAGCGCAUUUCUGACUACAUCACCACGGCACUGCGGGACUCACGGACCACCAGG